GCCAGGUGUGGUGGCUCAUGCCUAUAGUCCUAGCUACUCGGGAGGCUGAGACAGGAGGAUCACUUGAGUCCAGAAGUUCUGGGCUGUAAUGUGCUAUGCUGAUCGGGUGUCCACACUAAGUUCGGCAUCAAUAUGGUGACCUCCCGGGAGCGGGACCACCAGGUUGCCUACGGAGGGGUGAACCAGCCCAGGUCGGAAAUGGAGCAGGUCAAAACUCCCAUGCUGAUCAGAAUAACUGGAAUUUUAGAAUACAUUAACUAUAAUCAUAAAAAGAUUU
ensembl:misc_RNA Metazoa_SRP Metazoan signal recognition particle RNA